rnacentral:rRNA from 1 species
UCAGUCGACUCCUACCGGGGAGGGCAGCAGUGGGGAAUAUUGCACAAUCGGGGGAAACCCUGAUGCAGCCAGUGCCGCGUGUGUGAAGAAGGCCUUCGGGUUGUAAAGCACUUUCAGUAGGGAGGAAGGUAGUGUAGUUAACACCUGCACUAUUUGACGUUACCUACAGAAGAAGCACCGGCUAACUCCGUGCCAGCAGCCGCGGUAAUACGGAGGGUGCGAGCGUUAAUCGGAAUUACUGGGCGUAAAGCGCAUGCAGGCGGCCUGUUAAGUCAGAUGUGAAAGACCCGGGGCUUAACCUCGGAAUUGCAUUUGAAACUGGCAGGCUAGAGUCUUGUAGAGGGGGGUAGGAAUUUCAGGUGUAGCGGUGAAAUGCGUAGAGAUCUGAAGGAAUACCAGUGGCGAAGGCGGCCCCCUGGACAAAGACUGACGCUCAGAUGCGAAAGCGUGGGGAGCAAACAGGAUUAGAUACCCCUGGUAG